rnacentral:rRNA from 1 species
AAUCAACGCUGGCGGCGUGCCUCAGACAUGCAAGUCGAACGAUUAAAGCUCCCUUCGGGGAGUGCAUAAAGUGGCGCACGGGUGAGUAACACGUAAGUAAUCUACCCUCGGGUGGGGAAUAACAUCGGGAAACCGAUGCUAAUACCGCAUAAUGCAGCGGCACCGCAAGGUGACAGUUGUUAAAGAUUUAUUGCCUGGGGGAGGAGCUUGCGGCAGAUUAGCUUGUUGGUAAGGAACGGCUUACCAAGGCUACGAUCUGUAUCCGGUCUAAGAGGACGGUCGGACACACUGACACUGAAUAACGGGUCAGACUCCUACGGGAGGCAGCAGUCGGGAAUUUUGGGCAAUGGGGGAAACCCUGACCCAGCAACGCCGCGUGAAGGAUGAAGUAUUUCGGUAUGUAAACUUCGAAAGAAUAGGAAGAAUUAAUGACGGUACUAUCUAUAAGGUCCGGCUAACUACGU